GGGAAAAACGGUGUAGUUUUGAGCCAGACUGAAUCGACUGAUUGUUAGGGAACCGCCGAAGAAGAAGAUGAUGAGAGAGGAGAACAAUGUGUAUCGGCGUCCAAUCCAAUUCGACGCUCCUCCAGCAGCCAGCGAUGAUAUUGGAUAGCUGCAGGUUGCAAUUAUCAAGUAAAUUUCUGAAUUCCAUGCCGUAAUUUCGUGGUUUGCUGCUAUGCCGUAAUUUUCAGGAGAUGGAGAAAAGUUUGAACUCCUUACAAUGGAAGAGUCUCUCAACGGUUUGUGAACAGAGUGGCCAACUUGGACCUGAAGGGGGAUAAGAGGAGAUCCAACAAGGUAAAGGAGGAAGCGAAGCUCAUUAAGGCGUCUGGCGAUAACUGGCUGCGACCAUUUAUCGGAAGUUUGAGCCUUCAUCCAUGUGAGCAUGUUUUGCCAACGUAGUUGAACAUUGCUGCCCAUGCUAGUGAGCAUUUCGUCUGGUAUUGGGACCUCCAGGACGGUCUCAAGGCCAUCUUCUCUGUCAAUGUUUGGACAAAGUUUCCUCAUGUAUCAUAUUACAGGGAAAGAAAAAGGGAGAGAGCAGAGGGAGCAAGUAGAAAUUAUCCAAGGAAUCAACAAGUAAAAAAAGAUAGAAAGGAGAGAGGAUUAGGUCUUUAUUUCCUAACCAUGUAACUGUAACUGUACCUGUGCAAGAAAAUUGGAGAUUUAGUUUGAGGGUCUCCUUGUUUGUAGGUGUAUUUGUGGUUACAAUUUAAAUUGAUUAUGAAUGACUUUCUAUUUUGGGUUA